rnacentral:sRNA from 1 species
UUAGAUUUGUCUGAAGGUGAUGGAGUGAAGGUGAGAGAGUGGGCAUUGUAAUUAUUACUACAGCUAGUAUUUCUUUAGCAGCGUUCCAGAUGCUAGGUUGGUGUUUUGCUUGCAUUCAUUGAAUUCUAACAACCUGCUAAAGUAAGUAUCAUUGUGUCUUUCAGCGAAACCAAGAAAACUCCUCAUCCGUUUCACCUAAGAGCCAGAUUCUAAGAGCCAGACUAGGUGUCUUGGGUAUACUUUAACUUUUCUGGACCCAAAUUUUCCUGGUUAUAAAGUGAGAUCUAACAUAGAUAACCUGUGUUAAUAACCCUCCCCACUGGGUCCUACCCACAUACAAACAUGGAAGGAGAAUGAUUUUUAAACCAAAAUACAACAAGUCAAUUGCACAAAUGAAUCCACAGAGAUUGUAACAGCAUACACAAAAUCUAGAUAAGAUCAAGCCAGACAAAAACCAAGCACGGAACACAGGAUGAACAUGAAGUCCUAUCCUUCGCUGAAGUGUGCAACCAAGACCACGUUGGAGGAUUCAUGCCCUUAGCACCAGGUUGGGACCACUGAGAUAUCCAACCUUGUGAACCGAGCAGCUGUGGGUUAUCAACCUCUUCAGCAUGGAGAUGGCCAUGUUGGACGACCUAGACCAUAUUGUCAGGUAUGGAGGCUGGCAGGAUUGCCCAAGCAGAAGACAGGAGGAACAACCUGUUGGGGAAAAACCUUUAGAGCAUUUGCUUGUGAGAGCUGUCAUAAGAAAUGCCUUGGUGUCGAAACAACAGAAUCUACUUCCUCAGAGUUUGGGAGUCCAAGACUCAAGAUGGAGGUGUCGGCAGGGUGGGAGUCCUUCUCUCCUGGUUUGUAAACAGUCGUCUUCUUGCUGUGUCCACACAAGCUCUUUCCACGUCAUGUGCUUUUAUUCCUGGUGCCUCUCAGAGUCAAUGUUUCUUUUUCUCAUAAGGGUACCAAUUAAGGAUGACUUAGGGACCCUAAUAGACUCCUUUUCUGUGUUUUGUAAAGAAUAAAUAUAAAUUUUUAUUAUAUUUCUUCACCUACCAUGACAAGCUUCAUUCUUUCAUUUACAAUAAACUAAC